rnacentral:rRNA from 1 species
AGCAGUAGCCGCGGUAAUACGUAGGUCCCGAGCGUUGUCCGGAUUUAUUGGGCGUAAAGCGAGCGCAGACGGUUAGAUAAGUCUGAAGUUAAAGGCUGUGGCUUAACCAUAGUACGCUUUGGAAACUGUUUAACUUGAGUGCAAGAGGGGAGAGUGGAAUUCCAUGUGUAGCGGUGAAAUGCGUAGAUAUAUGGAGGAACACCGGUGGCGAAAGCGGCUCUCUGGCUUGUAACUGACGCUGAGGCUCGAAAGCGUGGGGAGCAAACAGGAUUAGAUACCCGUGUAGUCCCUGUCUCUUAUACA